ACUGCACCCUACACUACACUACUGUGCCAGGUGGAGGCGCCAUUGGCCUCAGGUGCAGUGAAUCAAGGAUUGUGUUUGUCUCCCUGUAUUUCGAUAGUGGCGAUCCGGUGAGAGAAACUCAGCCAGACGAGGCGGCUGGACGCCGGGAGCUCCCCAAACGAUCUGGUGUGCAUUUAUAAUUUCGCUGGUAACCGUAGUAUAGAAACAAUAAAGGUACUUGAGGCAGUACUUUAUCUUCAAUAAUGAAACAGUUCAGGGGUUGUUAGGCCAGACGAUAAAACACAGCCUCUUGUACCUUAUUGCUUAACUACACUACUGUACAGUACAAUACUGUACACUACAAGUACACCACUUCUUUGUUCAUGUCCAACUCCACUGACCGGCCUUUUCUUCCUCCCACCCACGCAAAGAGACGAGGAGACGGGCAAAAUGAGGGACAGAAGGCGUCUUUUUAGGUGCAGAUAUCACAGAAACGUAAAUGUAGGGAGGGGGGCAGAGAAGGAGACGAUAACUGAAGAAAAAGGGACAGAUGAAUGGAGUCCUGCAGAUCCAGCACACAAUGGGACACUGGGAAGAAAACCAUUAUACUCCCAUAAUAUAAAUUUUCAUCUCCCAAAAUGCCAGUGGCCCGUGAAUUAUUUUUUUUUCCAGACAGAAAGUGAAUGUAGAAAGAUUUUAGCAGUAAAGGGAAAAUGUUUAAUGUAUGAAAAUAAAAAGCAGCCCGAGUAUGAUUUACAGAAAGAGCGACGGCUCCCCCUGAAGGAAUGUGUGCACCACGCUGACAGAAAAGAGAGAAAGAAACGCAGAAAGUGUCACAGGUGAAAGCAUUAAUCUCUCAAUGGGUAUUACACACAAUCAUUGUGAAAUCAACCCCCCAAAACCUAGAAAAGUGACACUUGACCUAUUUUUACACUUUAACGUUCAACUAUAGAAAAUUGGUUAUCAUUCUGUAUUUAUUUUUAGGAGUCAAGUGAGCUGAAAUAAAAUGUCCCACUAGAAUCAUAUUAACAUUAGAUUGCUGUUGAGUGUUCUUCCUGAACGUGGCCACUAGAGGUCAGUGUACAUCGAGGCCAUUGGCAGUGACCUCAGAGCAUCAUGAAGAGGCGCCUCAGUGCUGGGGGGCUUGUUGCCCUUGUCUGUGUUUUAAUGUUUUAGGUUUGGAGGGUCCAGUCAGAAUAAAUGUUUUAUUCAAUUAUAUUCUGUGAAAGCUCUUUGUGUUUUAGCAGUUUGCAUAACUUGUACAUUUGAUAUGCACUGGAUUUUUCUUCUUUUACGUUAUUUUAUAUUUUAACCAAAAGUUCAUUUUUUCCUUUAUCUUGUCAUUUGGUUCUUCAUGAAAUGUAAAUCAUAUUUGUAGUUCUUUCACUUCUUUUGACAAUACUAUAUAUUUUUUUGUUUUUGACAUAAUACACACUAAAAUACAAAAGGUUCAUUUUAAUCUUCUUUAAUAAUCUGACUAUACUAGACUGUUUUUCAAAAUUCUAUACUGAAAUAUUUUUACUUUCUACUUUUUUAUUUUCUUGAUACGCCAUGUCAGAAAAUAAUAUGUAUAAAGUUUGUACUACAAAUUUGUUGAGAUUUUUUGAAUUUUGUUUUAAAUUAAAUAGUGGGGGUUUUCAGUACCAUAUGACUUUUUUCUGUGGUUAUUUUCAAAACAUUUUCAUGAAGUUUGUUCUCCAACUUUUUUUAAGUCAGUGUAAAAACCUGUAAAACUACAGUGCAUCCGCAAAGUGUUCACAGCGCUUCACUUUUUCCACAUUUUGUUAUGUUACAGCCUUAUUCCAAAAUGGAUUAAAUUCAUUAUUUUCCUCAACAUUCUACACACAACAACCCAUAAUGACAAUCUGUUAAAAAUAAAGAACGAAAACAUAACAUGUACAUAAUUAUUCACAGCCUUUGCCAUGACACUCAAAAUUUAGCUCAGGUGCUUCCUGUUUCCACUGAUCAUCCUUGUUUCUACAACUUGAUUGGAGUCCACCUGUGCUAAAUUCAGUUGAUUGGACAUGAUUGAGAAAGGCACACACCUGUCUAUAUAAGGUAUCAGAGUAUGACAGUGCAUAUCAGAGCAUAAACCAAGCCAUGAGGUCUGUAGAACUCAGAGACAGAAUUGUAUCGAGGCACAGAUUUGGCGAAGGGUAUAGAAAGAUUUCUGUAGCAUUGAAAGUCCCAAUGAGCACAGUGGCCUCCAUCAUCUGGAAGAAGUUUGGAACCACCAGGACUCUUGCUAGAGUCGCCUGCCCAGCCAGACUGAGCGAUCGGGGGAGAAGGGCCUUAGUCAGGGAGGUGACCAGGAACCUGAUGGUCACUCUGACAGAGCUCCAGUUCUAUGAAGAGAGGAGAACCUUCGAGAAUGACAACCAUCUCUGCAGCACUCCACAAAUCAGGCCUGUUUGGUAGAGAGGCCAGACGGAAGCCACUCCUCAGUAAGAAGCACAUGACAGCCCGCCUGAAGGACUCUCAGACCAUGAGAAACAAAAUUCUCUGGUCUGAUGAAACACAGAUUGAACUCUUUGGCCUGAAUGCAAAGCGUCAUGUCUGGAGGAAACCAGGCACUGCUCAUCACCUGACCAAUACCAUCGCUACAGUGAAGCAUGGUGGUGGCAGCAUCAUGUGGGGAUGUUUUUCAGCGGGAGGAACUGGGAGACUAGUCAGGAUUGAGGGAAAGAUGAAUGCAGCAAUGUACAGAGACAUCCUGUGACACAGCAGACUGGGGCAUUAACACAUCCUCGAUGAAAACAUGCUCCAAAGCGCUCUGGACCUCAGACUGGGGCGACGGUUCAUCUUCCAACAGGACAACGACCCGAAGCACACAGCCAAGAUAACAAAGGAGUGGCUUCGGGACUCUGUGAAUGUCCUUGAGUGGCCCAGCCAGAGUCCAUCCAACCUGAUGGAGCUUGAGAGGUUCUGCAGAGAAGAAUGGGAGAACCUGCCCAGAAAUAGGUGUGCCACGCUUGUGGAAUCAUACCCAAGAAGACUUAAGGCUGUAAUUGCUGCCAAAGGUGCUUCAAUAAAGUAUUGAGCAAAGACUGAAUACUUAUGUACAUGUUAUGUUUUCGUUCUUUAUUUUUAACAGAUUUGCAAAAAUUUGCAAUAAACAGUUUUCACUUUGUCAUUAUGCAUUGUUGUGUGUAGAAUGUUGAGGAAAAUAAUGAAUUGAAUCCAUUUUGGAAUAAGGCUGUAACAUAACAAUGUGGAAAAAGUGAAGCGCUGUGAAUGUUUUCCGGAUGCGCUGUGUAUCAUUGGUGCUUUUUAUUUUGUAUGUAUGGUAGAAAACUCAUCAAACCAUUUAAACCCUGACAAUACCACUGUCCUCAUAUUGAGACUAGAUAUUUUGAUCCACGCUGCAGCUGGACAAGCCCGAGGCUGAAAUUUAGCCCCAUGUCCCAAGAGAAAUCAGGGCACUGGCCUAUCCUGCUUGGUUGUCUUGGUUCUUGUCCCUCGGGUCAGAUUACAGUCGGACAUUUAAAAGCUUAACCUAUUUCUUUCAGCUUGAAGUCUUGAAAACAGCAUUACGUAUUGGUGUCAUAGGCCUACGGGUAAUUAUAUAUAAACAACCUCCCAUUCAAUCAGAUUUAUAAUAUUCAAAGAUAAGGUCCUAAGUGACCUCCAGGUCUAGGGAUCAGAUGUUCCCUGACAGAUUUCUGAAGCAGUGAGGCUGGUUUUCAGAAGACGGAUCAUUUAGCUGGAGGGAUUUUAAAUCCUCUGAGAUAAAAAAAAAGAAAGUCUUAAUGCUUUAACUACUGAACCAUGGAAAGAAGCAUCUGUUAUCAGUGUGACGGUACUUCUACUGAUGUGAACACAUUAAUUGAUAAGUUCUACGCAUCCUUAUGAUUUUCUUUCAUCUUACUGAUUAGAAUGUAUAAAUUAUUAACGUUGUCUGUAUUGUAUAAAUGACAGCACAAACAUUGCACCCACUGUCACUCUUGAUUGAUUCUCUUUGACUAUUGCUUCCGUCAAAUAAAGAUGGACUUGUAGUAGAGGUCUAAAUUCCUCUUUUGAUCAAAGCUCAUUUUUAACUAGUGUUUUUCUUUUUCAUUCUCUGCGAAACAUGUUUUUAUUAAUUAAAUUAAAUACAUUUUUACUAAUCAAAGGCAUUUCUUCUCAUUACUUGUUCGUAACAUUGUUAAGAGACCACAAACUAUACAAAUAGUAAUAGUUUUAUUUGUGUACUUGUUACCUGUCUCCCAGUCCAGGUGCAAUCAGGGUGAUUGGGUUCCACCUGUGCCCGUUGAUCAACGAGCUGGGGUGAAGCCUGGUGCUGGUUCUGGUUCUGGUGCUGGUGCUGGUUCUGGUUCUGGUGCUGGUGCUGGUUCUGGUUCUGGUGCUGGUUCUGGU
ensembl:lncRNA